rnacentral:lncRNA from 1 species
GGAUAUUACCUCAGGAGACUCCACAGUUUUUCAUUCAGUGAGGACUGAAAUGUGAACAAAGUAACACAACCAGACAAGAGACAACCAGACAAUAGGUGAACAAAACUAUGAUUCCUUCCCUAAUUCCGAAACCGCACAACGUCAGGAUUUCUCACUAGCGCCCAGAACACUGUGCCCUGGUCUUCUAGCCACACUGAAUGGACGACAGCAGGGCUGGAUUGUCAUUGUCUGGCCUGAAGCUCCUCUGCUGGGUGGGUGUGGUGUGGCUGCGGUCGGUCACGGCCACUCUCGAAAACAAACCAUCUAUCCACUGCUGAGAGGAGCCACAGAGAAGAGCUGAAAAAUCUCCAGAAGAGAGGCCACAAAGGCCUUCUCCCUACAUCACAACGCUAACUCAUGCCAUGCUUGUUCAUUGCCAAAUCAGAGGCACAAGGACACAAUACAGUCUUACGCCAAUACCUACUCUUUGGAAAAUCUUUUGCAAUCCAUCGAGGUCAAGAACAUUCCAGUGAACUAUGAUAAAUGACAACUAAAGCAUGACUUCGUGAAAAUAUCUUCUUCACUUUGAUUGGCAGUACAGCAUGUUCAUGUUAAGUCCAAAACGCCUUACGGACACUGCAUUUAAAACAAAACAUCUGAAAUAUCUAUAGAAAUGCAGAACAUCCCCAUGGGAAAGUUCAAGUUUACUCAAGCAGGAUGUAAAAUGUAAAAUGGUACUUCUGUGAAAUGGAUUUUAACCUGGAACUUGUAUAGAUUCUACAGCACAAUGUAUUAUCAAGGACUUCCUCUCGUUUUAAGAUUUCUUGAAGGUUGAAACAUUUGAUAAAUGCAUUUAAUUUAUGUGUUUGUGACUAAACAAAGCAGUAAUGGAAAAAUUGCACAUGAUGAGUACCUUAUGGAUGAUGAGGGUGUUGAUGUUGGUUACCAUUUUCCUUUGUAAUUGAAUGCUGGAUAAUCUUAAAAAGGAAUUUUCUGGGUUUAAUACAAGUUAAGCUCUGUCGACAGCCUUUGUGGCAUAAUGUUUUUGAAUUUCAACUAUUUCCUCUUUCUGUAAAAGAAAAUGCAAAACAAAUCUGGGUUCCAGUGAGGUAUUUACAAUGGGGCCAUUUUGUAAACACUAAAAUUCUCACUGCUUCUAUAGUACAGUCACAAGACGUAAAUAUGCAUGUUAACAUGAUUUUAGUGUAAAUAACUUCGUUUAAAUUUGCAAAGCCCUAAAAAAAAAAAAAACUAAAAUUUUAAACCGCUUUAUAGUUUAAAUAAUACACAUUUUAACAACAAAAAUUAAAUGUGCUUUGAUAAAAUAUGCUCACAUAUUUCUGCUUCUAUAUCCAUUUACCUAGUCCCCAUUUUAAAUGCCUAACCGUAACAUCCAUUUUUGCCUGUUAACCCAUAAGACAUUCGUUCAUCUUCAGAACACAAAUUAAGAUAUUUUUUAUGAAAUCCGAGCUUUCUGACCCUGCAUAGACAGCAACGCAACUGACACGUUCAAGGCCCAGAAAGGUAGUACGAACAUCAUUAAAAUAGUCCAUGUGACAUCAAUGGUCAACCGUAAUUUUAUGAAGCUACAAGAAAAGAAAAAAAAUAAUGACUUAAUUCAACGAUUUCUUCUCUUCCCUGUCACGACGCAUGCGUGUGGUGCUGCUGAAGCAGGAGCCGGCAUUCUGAUGUAGAACCCAGAUGCGCUGCAGCUUGUUUACAAGCAGAAGAAUGCACACAUAUGCAUUGUGGUACUGUUCUGAAUGCGCGGUGAAGACUGACACAAGUAAGAAGAAAUAGUUGAAUAAAGUCAUUAUUUUUAUUUUCUUUGCACACAAAAAGUAUUCUCGUAGCUUCAUAAAAUUAUAGUUGAACCACUGAUGUCACAUGGACUUUAACAAUGUCCUUACUACCUUUCUGGGUCUUGAACGUGGCAGUUGCAGGGUCAAAAAGCUCUCAAAUUUCAUCAAAAAUGUCUUCGCGAUCCAAAGAUGAACAAAGGUCUUACGGGUUUGGAACCACAUGAGGGUGAGUAUUUAAUGACAAUUUUCAUUUUUGGGUAAUCGAACCCUUUAAAGAAAAGGAAGAACAAGUCAUUUUUUAUCCCUAAUUGAUUGAGCGUAAUUAGUAUCGUUUCAACCAUUAUUGUUAAAGGUUGGUUUUCUUACUCACUUACAGUCUUAAAGCUCUUGAAAAGGGAUAUGAAUUUGAAUUGUGUUUUGGGGGGAGUUUAUCUUCUGUAGUAAAUGACUCGCUGCUAAACAUUUCCAUUUGAAGGGGACUUUCUGGGAUUAUGCAGCAGAUCCCACAGGCAUCCUUGUGAACUGAAUUCCUGGUGCCUAAUACCGGUAGAUGUGUUUGUUGCUCAUUCAGUCAGUUGAAGGGUUUGAAUAAAUGAUUUUUGAUGCUUGCAGACUGGUUUCAUAAGCACCCUGGAGGUUUAAAAAAAAGUGCCUGGACUCCUCUCUGAAAACUCC